rnacentral:rRNA from 1 species
AGGGAAUAUUGGGCAAUGGAGGGAACUCUGACCCAGCCAUGCCGCGUGCAGGAAGAAGGCCCUCUGGGUUGUAAACUGCUUUUGAUAGGGAAGAAAGAGGUUAUGCGUAACCAGUUGACGGUACCUAUCGAAUAAGCACCGGCUAACUACGUGCCAGCAGCCGCGGUAAUACGUAGGGUGCAAGCGUUGUCCGGAUUUAUUGGGUUUAAAGGGUGCGUAGGCGGUGGAUUAAGUCAGUGGUGAAAGACGAUCGCUCAACGAUUGCAGUGCCAUUGAUACUGGUUCACUUGAGUAGUGCAGAGGUGGCCGGAAUUGAUCGUGUAGCGGUGAAAUGCAUAGAUAUGAUCAAGAACGCCGAUUGCGAAGGCAGGUCACUGGACACUUACUGACGCUGAGGCACGAAAGUGUGGGGAUCAAAC